CAACAGCAACAACAGCAACAACNNNNNNNNNNNNAACGACAACAACAACAACAACAACGACAACAACAACAACAACAACAACAACAACAACAACAACAACAACAACAACAACAACAACAACAACAACAACAACAACAACAACAACAACAACAACAACAACAACAACAACAACAACAACAACAACAACAACAACAACAACAACAACAACAACAACAACAACAACAACAACAACAACAACAACAACAAUUGUUGUUUAGCUUCUAAUAUUAACUUGGUGCUUUUAGGUACAUAUGUCAUUGGUAAAGAUCCGCGCUUCGACCCUUUCUGCGCAUGGGGAAUGAGAUAUCGAUGAACCAGCAUCAAGUGAGGAAGUUGAUAAAGAUUGUUAGUAAAAUGGGUCAAAAGAUGGUAAUUAAACUAUUUGUUUACACUUUAUCCAAGACAACAGCGAACUACAGGAUGGUAAGUAAGAACUCUGCAGCCUUCUUUUUACUGCCCAUAAUGAGUUGUGUUAGAUGACAAUGUCUGAAUCUUUUUCCUUUGCAGUGGUUCCCAAAACAGUUUACUCAAGAUUACCUCUCAAACUACAUGAUUAGUGGGCAUGCAAAGGUUAAAGUAUUUCUACCAGAACACGAUGAUUAUCUAGAUGUUUUCAUGAAGACCGUGAAGGAUGGGCGGUCGACCAUCACAAGGGGUUGGACUAGAGUCGUGCGUGCCUUCUGCAUGGAGGAGGGCAUAAUAUGCACAUUCCGCUUCACCUUGUUCUGCAACCAAAUGUAUUUCGCCUCUUUCUUUACCGUCUUUAAUAGUACAAGUAUACAACUGUGGUUCUCAUUCUUUAUUUGGUUCUUAUGUAAUUCUUGAACAUAUGUGCCUAUGAAUCGAAUAAUGCAUUGGUUGUUUGAACCUGAUGGAUAUGAAUAAAGCUAUAGCACGCAUUCAAAUUGAAAUUCAAAUCCGGUACAAUUUGAAAUAACAACAAUUGAAUUAUGGUGAAAUUACGCUCUCCAGGUCGUUACGGCACACAUGGUUGGUAAAACACAAACGUUUGCGAUAUACACCAUAAUCCAACAUGGUUCACAGAGAGGAAACAUGUGCAAACAUGCACACAGUUGCUGUUUGCAAAGCGUGUGCGAUGUCAGACAAUAUCACAAACGGUGCAGGCAAAGUAAACGUUUGUGAUAGUUGCCUUAUCGUACACGAUUCGCAACCAUGAAUUGUUUCUGAUGAAGUAUGCAUCGUAAACGUUGCACCACAGAAUAGCGUGUGCGAUAGUUGUCGUGUACGACGAUGUUACGAUGGUCCACGUUUCGUAAUCCUGUCCGACACUCGUACGACGAUUAGCUAAUCUUCUUAAUUAGUUAUCGCAUACGGUUUGGUAAAAGCGAAUGCGUGUGAUUGUCUGCUUAUCACACACGUUCUAUAAUAGUGAACCGUUUGUGAUGGGUCGCGCAUCGUAAACGUAGCACCACAGAAUACCGAUUGUGAUGGCAAUGCGAGCACAAACGAGUAGGAGUAUUGUAUAUGCAUCUUGGCUCCCUAUCCCCGGCGGUUUCUGGGUCGUGCGGGAAGGACCCCCUAUCGCCCACACUCACUUGGCGAUGGUUCCAAAUGCCUUCGCGGAAAGGGGUUAAAAACCGUUUGUAUAGGACCGACGCGUACCAGUGACUAGCGGAAUCACGGCAUCUUGCAUUGUGCGAGGGCGUCAGGAGAAUACGGUGGCCCUAGUGGCUUCUUGGGGAGCAUUGUGCAUCCAUACCGCUCCAACGGAGACGUACUUCCCCUCAAAGGGAAGGAACUUCGGUAACACAUCCUCGUCUCCACCGGCUCCACUUGUGGUUAUUUCUACCUUUACUUUGUGCAAGCUUUUGUUGUGUUGUAUCCCUUACUUGCUUAUGUUGCUUGUUGUGUUAGCAUCAUAUAGGUUGUUCACCUAGUUGCAUUUCUAGACAAGCUAUUUGUUGCUAAUCUUAAUUUGUUUAAGAAAGCCUAAAAUUUGGUAGUUGCCUAUUCACCCCCCACCCCCCCUAGUCAACCAUAUCGAUCCUUUUAACAGCUCCUCAUCAAAACCUUCGUCAAGAUCUUCCUCAAGGAAUCCCGCCAAGUCCUCCUCCAGCCGCAAGAAUACCUCUCGCAAGGCCAAGGCAUACACCGGCAAGGAGAUGGACUCCGAUGAAGAAGAGUCUUCUGACUCCGAAGAAAUUGAUGAAUCUGACGAGGAUUCUGACUCCGGCAUGGCUGGAAUAGCAUGUGCCUCUACUCCUGCGUCAAGCUUCUUCGAAAAUCAUUCAAGUGACGACGAAUCUCCUACCUACUGCUUCAUGCCCAAAGCUUCGAAAGAAAAGGUAUCCUCCAAACAUCGCAAGGUUCACUCCAGUGAUCAAUAUUCUUUUGAUGAGGAUGACCAUGCUAAACUGAUCAAAAUUGCUAGCAUUCAACAAAACUCUCUUGAGAAAAUUGAGAAAACCCUCAGGAAAUCUGAAGGGUUGUUGGUUGAGGAGAUGGAGAAAAAUCAAUCGUUGGUCGAAGAGUAUUCCGCUCUCAAGUCACGAAUUGAAGAGCUAACAAUUUGUCAUGAUUUUCUCUCGGUCGAUCACGAGAGAUUGACUUAUGACCACCUGAAAAAGAAACAGGAACUCGAGUCGCUGAGAGAGGCUCAUGAUGAUUUGAUCAGAGAAACUUCUCUUCUCACCCAACAACUCAAAGAGAAACAUGAAGUGUUUGUACCACCUUGCUUAAAAUGUCUUGAACGCAGCAAUGUUGAAUCAAAUGUUGAAUCUUCUGUGAAAGCUAACCCCUCUGUCGUGGAGAAUAGGGCAAAGAGAGUUUAUCUUCCGUGUUAAGUCACAGCCCCUUGUCGCCAUCGAGCAUCAGUGGUUAGUGGUUACCUUUGUUUCUCUCUCGUUACUUUCGAACGUUUUCAUUUAUGUGGUUCAUCUCGAUGCAUGCAUUUAGUUUCCAUUCGGUAGCUAGUAUUAGCUCGUUGUGCUCUGUUUUUAUUCGCUCCGCUGCUAGGUUCCGAUAGUUUUGAGAUUCCCAAAAGAAAUUNNNNNNNNNNNNNNNNNNNNNNNNNNNNNNNNNNNNNNNNNNNNNNNNNNNNNNNNNNNNNNNNNNNNNNNNNNNNNNNNNNNNNNNNNNNNNNNNNNNNNNNNNNNNNNNNNNNNNNNNNNNNNNNNNNNNNNNNNNNNNNNNNNNNNNNNNNNNNNNNNNNNNNNNNNNNNNNNNNNNNNNNNNNNNNNNNNNNNNNNNNNNNNNNNNNNNNNNNNNNNNNNNNNNNNNNNNNNNNNNNNNNNNNNNNNNNNNNNNNNNNNNNNNNNNNNNNNNNNNNNNNNNNNNNNNNNNNNNNNNNNNNNNNNNNNNNNNNNNNUCCUACAGCUUCUAAAGGAUUUCAAAAUUGGACUCAUGAAUACUUGUGAUGAUCUAGCUUUUUCACUGCUCCUUCGCUCCGCUUAGUAGUUGAUGAACAGAGUUGAAAAUAGAGGCCCACGGCUUAAAAUCAUUCCUUGUAGAACUGAACAGAUAAAAGGACAAUUUAUAGAAUGGCAAGAUUUUUUAGCAUCGAAUUUUUAUCAAAUUCAGUGGUCCGCCUUGUGACUAUAUAUGUGAACAAACAAGUAGGUGUCAUGCCUACUCAUUAUUUUACAAUCUACUUAAUCUUUUACCAUCUACACUGAGAGCCGCAAGUCUUGCAUUUCUUUAUCAUUCUGCAUCUGCAGGUUGAGAACACGAAUGCGCACUAUAGAAACCAGGGAGAAGUAGCACUACAACACCUACCUCCAGUAUUAUUCCCGUCACCGACCAGCCAUAUGAGAAAAUGCUACACUGCACAUCUAAAAGAAUAGGUGACCAGCCAUAUGAGAAAAUGCUACACUGCACAUCUAAAAGAAUAGAGCGAGCUAUUUUCACCGUUCACAGAACAGAACAAUGCACACGCAGAACAAGCCAACGAGACCAUCUCCAUAUGAAAAGAAAAAGAAACACACACGUACCCAAUGAUUCCACAUCAAAAUGGACAAACAUUGCAGCCUUCAGACAUACAAACCUACUGUUAAGUAGAUCUCCCCAACAAAUGAACUCCAGCGCACACGUACAAUAUCCUUCCUUUUCAUACAAAGCAUAGCAAAGGAAACAAAAACCACAGUUACAAUCAAUCUGACAAAACUGUCACUCAGUCGGCGCUAGUAAUAACUCUUUGGCCACAAGAAGACCAAUACAAAGUAUUCCUACAUCUUCACUUCAUGUUAGACUGUUCAUAGCACUUCACAACAGCAGGCUUACAAGGUAACAACACUUCUCAAUAGCCAACACCUAAUAUAUCAAUUACAUGGCAACAGCACUUCAUGCCAUCUUCACUUCAUGUUAGAUGGCCAUGUUAGAACACAACCAGGCUUACAAAGUAACAGAAGUCAGGUUCCCAGCCACCCGCAGGUCAACCCCUCUCGAGGUCAAUUACGUUAUUCCCCAGCCUGCAAAUAAUUAAUGAUACGGGUACUGUAUCAGCCAACUCCUAAUAUUACGUAAAUAAAAUUAGUACAAACUACCAAGUUCAUAGUAACUCACAUCCCAACCACUUGGUCGAUAAAAGACUGUAUCAGUGCAGGACAUUGAUUCUCUGAGUCUUUCAAAGUCACAAGAAUGGUUAACAGGAAUCGAGGUAUAAAGUUCCUUCUCUCCAUCAACGAAAAAGCUGCAUCAAGCUUCUCUAAAGAGGUCCACUGCAUCAACAAAAACUAGUUUGUAUCAUGAUCAGGUGUCAUAAAAAUAUAUACAAGGGAAACUGCAUGCAUAAAAAGAGGAAAGAGAUUAAGCAUGAAUCUUACCUUAUGAUGCUUGAAAAAGUUAUUUGAGAACUUCAGCAAACCGACCCAAUCGUUCACAUACGGAACCCAAAGUGUCCCAUCUUGAUUGCUCCGAGAAUGGUAAAAGUACGUAUAAUUCAUUGCUGCAACAUUCUUUGCAGUAUUCACCCAAGAAAAUUUAGCAAGUGUAUCUACUAAGACAGCCAUCACAUCUGGGUGAAGUCGUUCAACCAGCUGAACCAAAAUUUCACUGAUUGACACCCUCACGUAAUGAGAAAGCAAUGAAGAAUGAUUUGUCACGAAUGCUAUCACAGCCUCACUUUGACAGUCCACAGCAGGACCAUAUCUUAGGAAGUCGACCAGUUGGAAGAAAUGCAUUGGAUAUUCCUUGUCUUGGAACAAAUCAUCCAAUAUUUUACCAAUUGCUUCAUAGUCCAAUUUAGCCGAAUGUUGAGUAAACCUUUCAGGGGCAGAAUCAAUACGGACAUUCCCAUAACGGUCAAAUAAGAUAUUCUUGGAAGUGAUCUUGCCUCCAUAGGAAGUACCACUAUAAUGCCUGCGGCACAGUUGGAUAAGCACAUUUCUGGAACGAAAUUGCAUAGGUUCUGCCAAGUACUUCACCAGAAUUGGACCUUGCUGGGCCGAGCCGUCCUGGCGCAAGAGAACUAGGUCUUUCGGUGGCAAUGACACCAUCGUGUAAUGUUUCUGAGAUCUGACAAAGUCAUCCCAUGUUUUGUCCCCAGCACUAUAAAGUAUUGCAAAAAAAUAGAACUAGUUAAGCCAUGAUAGAAGCCAAGUACAAGGAUGCAGUACAAAUGAACAUGCCUAUCGUAAAAUAAACAGUAUUGUCCAUGUCGGCCUGACAAAAAUGAAGUAAAAGCAUACUGAGGUUAAACAGAGACCUAAUCAGCCAGUUUUACUAGAUAUAGAUGGCAAACAAAUAAAUUGACUAGUUGACAAACGAAACUCAGAGAAGUGUUGUCGAAUAUUCCGCAAGCAAAUUGACAGGCUGACCCAUGAAAGCUAUAGAGGAAAGUAUAUAGCUCAGCAAGUCUAGUCAAUGCAUGUUCUAACAUCACCAUCUAGAAUACGAAGCUUGGAUUACACAGAUUCAAAAGUCAAGAUAAGCUCAACUUUCAGGAAGGUUGGUGGAUACUUCCAUGUGCGUCUAUAAGAAACUUAACAAUUUAGUGAUGCCAAUGUUCUAUGGAUACAAAUAAACUCACAGACAAGAAAACUGCAGAAACAUGGUACAAUUGACUACAGGUAUGCACUCAACAUAAGCCAUAAAGGAAUUUGCAGGUAACAACCCCAUAUCAUCUAAUAUUUAUACCGAAGAAGGCCAUUUUCGUUGGUAACCAUUGUAUAAGCUGAACAGUAAACGAUAGUGUCCAGCCUGACACAGCAGAAUCGAAAGCAUGCUGAAGUUAAAAUCCACAUGAGCCAUACAUAGAUUAAUGGUUGGGCAUAAUCUAUCAACUUGAAUUGUUAGAAUCAAAGGGGAAAAAUAGAUAUGAUCGGCACAUACUGCAUCACCCACUUCAAUUAUUCAUUAAGCCUAAGUUUCAGAAUUAAGCAACAGUAUUUGUGAAACUUCAAUUUUAGUAUCCAUCAUACCAGGAAUUGAACAAAAUAACAAUGUGGAACCUAUCCACCAAUGGAAUGUAAUGCACACUUGCAAGAAAAAAUAACAUCUUAAAGACAAAAAGCGGCUGUGAGGAAUAGUAAGUUCAAGAAGCUGGUAAUAAACCUCUACCAAUAAAAAUAAUUUCUGAAAUUUAGUCUAGCGCAAUUUAUUACAUACCAGCCACCUCUGAGUCUUGGAUUAAUUAUGAUUUUUGAAUCCUUGUUUAUCUGAUAAUACGAUAGAAGUUGCUUGGGAUCCAACACUUUUCCACAAUAAAUUGAGUAAAAAUCCUUGGAUUUUACACCCACUUUAUCACAUGCCACCUUCAUUAACAUAUUCACAUUUGAAGUGUACAGAUUUUCCUGAUGAGAAUUGGUUGUGCCACAGAGAUGUAGAAACACCUGAGAAACUCCCUGCAAAUAAUUGUUGGCUAGAAUGUUAGAUAAAUUGGAAGUUACAAUUAAGGCAGAGAGAAAGCUAUACAAAUAUAAGGCAUAAUAAGCAGAUAACAUAAUUAUGUUCAGUUUAAAUCUAGAUUUGACAUUCAUUUAAAACUAAUGUAAUAUCCACCGAAAAACAAUCUAUGGCUAUUUUCUUCAAUAUGAUGAUACCUACAAUUAGCCCCGGGCAUUCGGUCUUUUCGGUUUGUUCGGUCCGGUCUUUUCGGUCUUUCAAAAUUUCGGUCUCCCAUAAUUGAAGACCGAUAUAAUUUCGGUCUUUUCGGUUAUUCACUAUUCGGUCUUUGGUCUUUACUAUUCGGUCUUCGGUCCUGACCAAAUAGACCAAAUUAAAUGCUAGAACCCAGAUUAAUGUUACUUCCAGUACCAAUUGUAUACAAACUACAUAGAGUAAAGAGGUACAUGUGUGCAGAAAGCUGUGUGUAUAGAGAUAACAUAUGUCUGUAAAUUGGCGCAUGUGUACAUAAGAAAAAUUCAAACAAGUAACACUUGUAUGCAAUCUGGAUGGAAUACAGUACACCAUAUGAAAAUCUUUAAAUAGAAAAUUAGCACUAUAUAUAAUCACCACUUCACCAGCAACAAGAUCCAUGCAUGCAUACUCAUUUAUAUUUGACACCAGAAAGUAAGAAGAUCCAGUAACAUCAGCGGAUCAGCCCAUGAAGUCGACAAGCAGCAAACACCAUCACCACUUAGUACUUGACAACAUAGAACUUGACAUGAAACAAAUCAAGUUUAGUACAUGCUUUCAAUUCAGCAGCAAACAACAAACAUUAAGGUCUCACACUCUCACUCUCAGUUCUCAAUUCUCAAGUCUCAAGUCACAAAUCAAAAGCAAAAGAUGAUAACUAAAACAACAUACAUUCAACAUGAUUUUAGUUCAGCCAUGAGUAGACGUGGAUGUCACUUUGUUGGUCGACUUGCACACUUGUUUGACUUGGCCAUGGAAGAAGCAACAACACCACCAUUGAACUUGCGCUUUCCCUUCACCUUGUCACCAAAUUCUUCAAUCAACUCUACAACAAGUCAAGUAUUCAAUCAAAUUUCAUAAUCUGCUAGCUAUGGUGAUAUACUGAUAGUGACAAAUGCAGUGUGAUUUUGUUGAGAUCUACUAGCUAGGUCUAGUUAAUGAAGAAGUUUGUCAAGUCAUGCAUAUAAAGUUCUCCAUACAUUGGUUUGGUAAUGAUGCAUGUCAUGCAUAUUAAUAUCUCUACAAUAAAAAAACAAAUGUAUUGACAAGUUGGCUGAUUUUUUUACCUUUUUCUAGCACUUCUAAUUCUUCCAAGUUCUCCUUGAUGUCGACCGGAUCUGUUGACCUUCUCAGCCAGUCUUGCGUACAAACUAAAGCUUGCACCAUAAACGGAGUUAGAGAUGUCCUAAAGUCAUCAAGUAUGCGUCCACUUGUGCUAAAGGCAGACUCAGAAGCCACAGUUGUAAUGGGGAUAGCAAGAAUAUCACGAGCCAUAUUUGCCAAGAUUGGAAACCUAGAUGAAUUCUCUUUCCACCAUCCUAGGAUGUCAAUUUUUUUGUCAGGGUCUUCAGAGUCUUCAGCAAGGUAUUUUUCAAGCUCAGAUUUACUACUUGCACUUCCUCCACUAUUAUUUUGCCUCAACCUACUUGCAAUUAGUUCCUUCAUCAUACUUGCUCCUCCUCCUUCUAUUGUUACUUGGCUAAUGGCUGGUGUUGUUGGUUCUGGUGUAGUCAAUCUUACUCGGUAUUCUUCAAACAACUCGCGAACACAUUUGUUGACAGCAUACCACACCUUCUCUCCAGACUCAACACCAAAUAUUUCCAAAGUAGUGAGCCUAGUGAAAUCAGAAAGCUUAUACCUUGGAUCAAGAGCUGCAGCAAUAAAAAUGAGCAAGUUGAGAUUUUCCUUCUCCUUCUCCUCCUUCUCCUUCUUCUUCCCUUUCCCUCUUUCAUUUACAAUAGGACCCUUAUCCUUCACCUUUUCAUUCUCAUGCCAAGACCCCCAGUAUUUGUCAAACUUUUCUUUCAUCCUCUCUGCCAUAGCUUUUUGCAAAGGAUCUGUACUGCUCAUCCAAUUUUGAACCAAUAUGUGUAUAUUGCCAACCUCGAAAAGAAAGUUGUUAGAAGUGACAUGAAGUGAGGAUGACACACGAACAGUAAGAUCAUAAAAAUGAGCAAGAAAGGCAGCCAUUUUCCUAGCAUUUUCCCAAUCCAUUUCAUCUGGAUACCCAAAUCCUCCUUUUUCUUCAGACAAGUCCAACGCAUACAAUGGGUCAUCCUCGCAGUACCUUGUAAACACCUUCGCGUAGGUGAUGGCAGCCUUCAACAUUAUGUAAGUUGAGUUCCACCGAGUGCAUACAUCUAGGUUCAAGAAUGCUUUGCUCUUAACUUUUUCUUCCAAUGCUAGCUCUUUGAAUUUUACCAACCGAGAAGUCCCAUUCUUGAUGUAUCGCACAGCAGCUCGGACACGUUUGAUUGAAAGUUCAACUUCUUUUAGGCCAUCUUGUACAAUAAGGUUGACAAUAUGUGCCGCACAUCUCAUAUGCAAAAACUUUCCAGCAGCUAUGCUAGUUUUGGCCUCAACCAUGCACUUUCUCAAGGGAACAAUGCAGCCAUCAUUAUUGCUUGCAUUAUCCACGGUGACUGUCAUAACUCUCUCUAGCCCCUAUUCCAUCAAACAUCUCUGCAAGUUCUUCCCAAGAUCCUUCCCUUUGUGGCCCUUCACCAUAAUGAAAUUAAUAAUCUUCUUAUGAUACUUCCACUCUUCAUCAAUGAAGUGUGCAGUCACUACCAUAUAGCCAUCUUGCUGCUGAGAAGUCCAACAAUCAGUGGUUACACACACACUUCCACAAUUCUCUUUGAAAAACUUUUUCAACUUGCAUUUCUCAUCUAGAUAGAUUUUGACAGUGUCCCUAGUACAAGUUCUUCUUGAUGGUGGACUAAAGCGGGGGCAAGCGACUGAAAUGAACUUUCUGAAUCCAGAUUUCUCACCAAAUGCAAAAGGCAGUUCAUCCUCUAUGACCAUCACAGCAAAUGCCUUCCUAACUUUUUCUGCAUCAUAUCUCCAAGUAUUAAUGCCAUCUCCUGGAGUUGCUUGCAAAGUGGUCUGAUUUGGAUCCAUUUUCUUAUUCGGACUGCGCUUGCAUGUACCAAAGUGCCUGCGCAUUGCUGUUGUUCCAUUGAUUGAUGUAGUAGCUUGAAUUGGUCGGUCACAAUACUUGCAUUUUCCUUCCUUUACUAACCCCUUGUCAUCAAAAACUUUGAUAAAAUGCUCCCAGAUUUGUGAUCUUGACGCCAUUUGCUUCCGUCCUUUUGGCUUGUCAUCUUGAGCAGCUUCUGGAUUGGCACCUUCACCAACAUUUGCUUCGGCAUCUUCAUCUUCAAUGAUGCUACGUAAGAAUGAUUGGUCUCCUGCUUCUGCAGCCGCUGCUUCUGCAUCUGCUUCUGCAUCUACCUCUGCAUCUACACUCAUAAAUGCAUCAUCUUUGUCCUUCAAUCCCUCAUCAUGUUCAGAUUCCAGUAUAGAAAGCAUCUACAAAAAAACAGGUUACUCGUUACUGAACCAUUUCUUCAUCUAAUGGUACACAGGAACAUACAAACUAACAAAAAGAUACUACUUAUAGCCUAGUUAGUACAUAAAGCAGCAUGGCACGAAUCUGUCAUGAAUAUAUACAAGCCAAAAAAAGGCAAGCCACUAUAUCAACCUUAAUUUGAACAUCACAGAACUUGAACAAUAUAAUUGAUUCACAUAAAAGAAUGAUAAUCUAGACAUCACAUAUGCACAUAGAGAGAUGAAGUAUCUUGCUCUCCUUCAGGAUUCAGCUGCAAGGUACAACACCGGAAGAACAGCAGGCGACGACCCAGCACCAACCUCGAAGAGGACGAGAGGUGGUGACGAACUGCAGCAGCCAGGAGAUGGUGCACCAUCGGCGGAUGUCCCCGUCACUGGCAGUGGAGCGAUGAAAGAGGGUCGGGCUUGGCGGCGCGACGCAAGGGGCACGGUGGUCGCGGAUGGUGGUCGGCUCGUCGUCACCUGUCAGGGCAGCAGCUCAGGGCGCCGGUCCUCGUCGCUCAUCGGUCAGAGGCGCGCGGCGCUCCUCGGUCACGGCUGACGGCUCACGGCAUCACGCCACCGCGAGGGACGGCGGCUAGGGUUCGUGGUGGGAGAGAAAAGAGGAAUUGUGCAAAAGCGGGCGGCGGCUAGGUUCUGUGAAUCGAUUGCAUCGUGAGGUGAGGACGAGGUGUGUUUGUGUGUUAUCUCGCUUGUGACCUUGGGCUGGCCAGAUGGGCUUUUCUAAAUUCGGUCUAUACGGGCUAUUCGGUCCACAACAUCAGAUGACCGAUCAGACCGUAACUAGUUCGGUCAUACAGUAGUGCAGACCGUUUUUUAUUCGGUCUUAUUUAGUUCGGUCAUUUCGGGUUCGGUCUCGGUCUUUUCGGGUUCGGUCUUCGGUCUUCGGUUUUUAUGCCCGGGGCGACCUACAAUCAUCAAUACCCAUAACAAAUUCAGACAGCUAGAAUUCACUAGAUUUAACGGUUAUGCUUGUUGGAGACAUAAAGAUAGCAAGCUUCUCAACAAAUCAAAUUAGUAAAAACCUUGGAGCCAUAGUAGUUGCAUGCACAAAUGGCAACCAUAGAAUGGAUGGAUAUGACCCUGAUAAUCUAUAUAGAGCUGACGGUUUGGUGACAAGAUCGCAUUGUUCCAGAUCAAGUUGAACCCACUGCCCACAUUUACAACAAACAUUCGAUUCAACAUCCAACAUCCAAAAUACUACCAUGAAGCAUUGCAACACAAAAUUACCUCAGUAUAAUAGUCGCUGUCUAUCUUCUGCACUAGGCCCUUUGAGCUGUUGGAGGAAUUUUUAAAACCCUGACAUAACAUAAGCAAUUGAUGAAACCAUGUAACAACUCAUUGAAAUAAACAGACAAACAUACAAUUGAAUAAGUAUGAAGAAUCAUAACCCACCCAAUGUCAUUUAAGGUAUUGUUUCUAGAAAUAUCACCUUUAUAAUCACAUAUUUAUUGAAAAUUAAUUGAAAGGUGCUGCUAGUCUACCACACAUGGACAGAUAAUAACACAGCAUUUUCCAACAUAUAGCAACAGCAAGUUCCUAUAAAAUUUUAUCUUUCAGCAAUGAUCAGGAAAUUGUAACAUAUGCACGGGUCCGAAGAAAAUCAGAAUUAGCGACAAGCUAGACUAUAUCUUGAAGUAGGACUAAAUGGGUCCAAACAAAAUCAGAAAUAGGACAAACUAAGCUAUGCUGUAGCUUGAAUGCAAAGCGCUAUUUUAGAAUCUUGCCUUUAACUCUUCAAAUCGAAGAGAAUAAUUACUUGAUUCCUCUCCAUCUGAAACUAGUAUCACAUCAUCACUCAUGGAACCAGCCCUGAGAUAAAAAUUCAUCUACAAGCAAUUUUACAAAAUAUUAUCAGCCAGAAUGUAAAAGCAUAGUAGAAGAGCUGCUGCUUGAUUCUCCAGCCCUCAAGUAAUAGUUCAUCUACAAUAUAUGAUCAUCCAAAAUGUAAAAAAAAAAAUCAGUACAUUGAUGCAAGCUCUGAGAUAAUUAGUGUGUCAAAGUACCUUCGAGAUAUAAUUGCAUUUUCCAUUAUUAGACCCAGGGUAGCCUCCCCUAUCACUACAGACAAAAUCUGGAAAAUCACUAAAUGCCUGCAAUGAACAGAAAGUAUUAGUGCAAAACAAUGGGUAUGUUCCAUCUAAAAAGGGAACACUCUUUGAGCAAGCCAAGAAUAUCUGAUCAGCAUGAUUUCAUACUUAUCAAUGUAUUUUGCGUCACAUACCUCAUAGUCUUGUGGUUUUAAGCUGUUAUCCCUCGCUCUUUGAGCCAACUGCUUCACCUCCUCACCGAUUGUAGCAAGUCCUGUCUUGUCUGCAUCCUGCAACACAAGUAAUGAGUUAGAAAAGAGAAAGACACAAAACGUAGAUGGUUAUACAUUCUUUGGGCAGUAAAUGUAUACCCAGCCAACUUUAUUCUCUUUGGCAAACCUUCCACAUGAGCGACUUAAAAGACAACAAUAUACGUAUAAGAACCGGUGAUUACCUUUCUAACAAGGUCUUUAGAUAUCUUCUUUCCACCAGAUGCUUCCUGCAGUAGGUUCAGUUCCCCUAGCAACCUGUAUCACAACAAAAUGAAGAACUCUUCUUUAUACAAAAGUUCGGUACUUAAAUGGUCAAUUGCAUGCUUUGCAACAUCAGGCCUGAAACAUACUUGAUAAGUUUGUCAACGGGUGUGUCAACUGUCAAGUAGUAAUGUGGGAUGGUUUGUUUAGAGGCUAAGAGGCGGUCUGCAGUAACCUGAAAUGAACAGGACUUAAACCACUACAAGGCAGAUAGGAUCAACCAAAAAAAUCCCAUCGGCAAUCUUCACAGUUGAAACAUACCUUUCUUAUCUGCGCAUUUGGAAUAUCAGUGCAAGCUAAUCCUGAAGCUGCAAAAGACUCGCCCUUGCCACCCUUGGCUACAGAAGCUUUGUUAAGAAAAAAUAGUCAUUAGAUGCAGGCUGGGUUUCAUUUGAUUCACAUGAUAUAAGGAAAGCAUAAGCCAAAUGCAUGACCUAAUGAGCUUAGAGGCAGGCUCAAGCUUAGUGCAGAACUUUUACUUGGAUCUCACAAGAAUGCUGGUAAAAAUGAUUAUUACGGAAUUCGCGCACACAUUUUGAAGUAGAGAACUAACAUGAAAAGAAAAGGAAACAAUAAGGAAUGGCACAUAAAAAAGCAUGGAGUUAUUUUUUUAUGAGACCGGGAUAGAGGUCUGAUUAGGAUAAACAAUUAAGAAUGGUACAUAAAAAAGCAUGGAGUUAUUUUUUUAUGAGACUGGGAUAGAGGUCUGAUUAGGACAAACAAUCAAGAAUCGCACAUAACAAGUGUUGCAACAUUGAAACAAGGUUGAACUAUAGUUCAAAACUGUGACCACUUAUUUUGCAUCGAAGGGAGUAAUUCACAAGAGCUUUAGAAAUCACAUUUAACAAGAACACACGACUACACAGCAAGUUAACAACAAACAGAAGUGAUUUACAACCAAAUCUAGCUAGGAAGAGAGUUCAGUUUGUAUAAUAAUUAAUGCUUUCACCCAUCUGGGGAAUGCAAUCAGAGAGAAAAUAGCAUACCCAAGUAAUCUUCAAUGUCUGCCUUCAGAAUACCACCGUCAGGACCGGUGCCUUUUACACUUGACAGUUGGACCUCCUGUUUGACAAAACACAGACAUAUGUCUUAAUUGACUGCGCACUGCCUACAGCAACUAUCUAGAUAGACUAGCUCAACUAAAGACUUCCAUAGUUAUCCUCUGCGAAAUUUCUGGAAAGGGAACACUUACAUUGUUAGGCUUGGGAGGUUCCCGCUUAGCCUUUGAUACAUCUGCAGCCGAUGGUUUGUAACCUUUAAACUUAUCGAUGUCACCUUCUUCUUCCAGAAUCAAACAAAUUACCUAAUGGCAUAGGCCACGCAGUACAAGCAAUAGUACAAUGUUAGCAGAACAUGCAAGCACUAGUACUACAACAUGAAACAAUAGGUAGAUAUCCCUCUUCCAUCCAUUCUAUCUCAGAUCUGGCUUGACCCUGAUUAAAUUGAGUGCAUACAGAUGUAAUUUAGCUUCUGCUGCAGCAGAGCAAUACUGUACGGCGACCCGCAAAGCACAAGAAUGUACGCAGCACAAGCGAGAGAGAGAGAGAGAGAGAGAGAGCGAGACGAGAGACCUUGGGCGCGAGAUCGCUUGUUGGCGCGAGCUUGGAAGCCUGCGGCCUUGAGGUGCAGCCGUAGAUGUACACGCACCUGUCACCGCGACCCCCUCCGCCUCCUCGCCCUCCACUCGCCACCGGGACGCAGGAAGCCGCGGGGCCGAUCUGCGAGCACGUCCGCACGGCCUCCUCGGCGCCGGCUGCGGAGGUGCCCUCGCCGAACUGUAGAGGGCGUCGGCGAGCGGGGUGGCGGCAGAGCCCGAGCCUCUGGACGACGUCCUGGACGCCAUCGGCAGGCGCGCCCUUGCCGCUCGUCUCCUCCACCACGACCUGCUUGCCGCGGGGAGCGGGGUUGGGGUAGCAGCCGCGCCUCGCCGCGGCCUCCUCCUCCUCCUCCGCGACGCCGUCGGCCUCGCACUCGCCCGCCGCGGCGGGCCUGUCGCGCAUGGACGGGCGCGCGCGGUGGUCGCCGCCGGGUCCGUCGGACGGCGCCAUGCUCGACCCUCGUCGUCGGCCGCUAAAACCCUAGGGGAGAGGAAGGGGACGGAAAAAAUGGAGACGACCAAGGCCGCGUCUGUCGCUGCGCAUUCCUCUCCUCGCUGUGCGUGUUUGGGGGUGUGGGGUGGCGCCGCGGCGGCUGGGGGGUAGGCUAGGUGCGCGCGGUGCAUGGACCCAGUAGAGGAGGGCAGCGUACGAUAACUCCGGAUGGGCCGUGGACACGCCACUCGGGUCAGCUGCGUGGACCCGGUGCACGGCGCGGGGGGCGCUCCUGCCCGUCCGAUCGCAUUGGAGGCGCGAGGACGCGGCCUAGGGUCUUCACGCGCGGGGCGAAGCGUGGAGCCCACAUAUCGAGCCAUACGCCUACAUGCGGCCAACGGACCCGCCAAUCAGAGCCCGGCACCUCGGGUGGGCCAGGGCUAGGCCUAGACACCAUGGGUAGACGGGCACGUACAUGUAGGGCUUUCUUGUUCGGCCACCUGCUCCAAACCCAAAAUUCUACCCUUCCUUGCUCGUUCUUGUUCCGUGCAUGGGCAUGUGCUGCUUCGGUAGGAGUUCAUUUCAAAAUUCAAAUCACGGCAGCAGCCCAAGCACAAUGGUUCAUCAUGGAGAACGUGCAUCUUUUCCCCAAAACUUUUAUUUACGCGUAUUUUUAUUUAUUUGGUACUAAAUAAAACUUUUGGAUCUUACUACUUCUCGGCACAUAUUUUUCAAAUGUGUGUUUUUGUUACUUCUCUAGUCAUUCUUAACUCUAUAUAUGCUCCCUCGAGGAGAAACUUCAGACGUUUGCGUGCGCCACCAGUAGGUCACUGGACAACAACCGCGUCGUCUCCAAGGGCCAAGGCGGUGUGGAGAUACCCUGCUCCUCCUAAGACACACAUCUUUGGGGUGGCGACUCGCGGUAGAUUCUCUACCCACUACGGGAACAAAAUGUAAGAGAAAACUUGAAACUCUGGCAUAUGUGCUCUUUGUGGUGUCUAACAUGAGGAUAUCUCUCAUGUCGUCUGCAGGUGUCCAAUGCACGGAGCUAUGUGGGAAGAAGUGAGGGAGCAUGGCGCUACUCGGACUUCAAAGCAUUCAAAACACAGGCCCCGGAUGGCUUCUCCACCUACUGGAUCAGUGUAUCGAGACAAAACGACUAAUCUCCCUCAUGAAGUUUUUGCGCAUGUGGCAUUGCACGAACGAAGUCACCCACCAUAAGGCGGUGCCGCUAAUGGAGAGCUCAAGGAGACUUUUGAAUAGCUGCAUUGAGUCUCUCACGUGUAUCAAGCAAAACCCUCAUUACGAAUUUGGUGAGAUGGUGGUCACCAUCAACAACAAGUCAACGCAAGUGCGACCCGACCCAUGGCCUAUACGACACGAAAGAAGGCGGAGGAACAUUGGGACAGGUGGGACUUACUACCACGGUGGCGUGCCAUGUAGGCAGAGUCAGCAAACCACUUGACGGCGAGUGACGAAAAUCAGCCCAAGUGUUCCCGACACUUUUUUCAAGUCGGUGCAUGACUAUGUAUCCACCAUGCAAGUUCAUGUAUCAUAGGUGCAAUUACUCUUUUUAGCCUUCCUUCCACUUCUCACCGAGGUGGUUGUCGGCCUGGUCCUUGCUCUCACGGUGCGGAAAAUUGGUGGCCUACAUUGUCUCUAAUGCCUUGUUCUUCGUCGCAUGUGUCGUCAAUGACAUCUCAUCCUUAGUUGUCUCCGCCAUCUGGGACGUCUUGUCCAUAUCCUCGCCAUUUUUAAGUUCUUUUUUUUUUUGCGAUGCCAUUUGUAAGUUUGUUGGCAUGGUGGUGAUGGCAACUCCCCUUCGCAAUUUGGCCAUUCGGACUCCUCUUCGUCACAUUGGUGAGGGCUCUGGUGUCAUCAUGAGGCGGAAGUUAGUUUGGAAGGUUGUGAUCUUGGAUGCGUGUAUCUUUCGGCGGCGAUUGCUUCGACGUUUGUUUUAUCGAAAGCAUUGGUCAGGUAGGCCUUGAUGGCUUACCACGCGCAAUCUACAAUGAUGAGCCGACUCUGCCGAUGGAGAGGCAUCAGGGGUGGCGCGCCAUCAGCUUGUUCUCGAGGAAGAAGACAAUCAGACCCUGGGGACCUUUGUUUAUUUUAGAGCAGUGUGAUGCCUUUUUCGUAAAAGAAGGAAGGCAAAACAAAAAUAGAAACUUGGGUCCCUCUCCGCUGAUUAUGUAACAAAGAUUCGUUUUUCACAAUGUGCAUUUUUUUUAACAAAGAAAACCUGGUGUAAUGCGAAAGGAAUAACGUAAACUUUGUAAAACCAUAGUAAGUACUCCAAAUUAAUCGUGUUUGAAGGCUUUAUGGGAAAACAAAAUAAUGUAGGUUAGUUUUUAAAAAACAUACUUUAAAAAAUAAUAACGAUGUCCAGUUAAUGUAAUGCAAAAAAGAAUAAUGUACACUUUCUAAAAGUGUAGUAAGCGCGACAGAUUAGUCACCUUUGAAGGCUUAAUGAAAGAGCAAAAUAAAUUAGUUUAGUUUCGAAGAUACGUACUUUUAUUUCUUUUUUAUCUAAUACUCCCUCUGUAAACUAAUAUAAGAGUGUUUAGAUAACUAAAGUAGUGAUCUAAACGCUCUUAUAUUAGUUUACAGAGGAAGUACUAUAUAAUCUCUGGCAUUUAGUAAAUCUUGCUUUUUCAGAGUUUUUUAACUCCAAUUUUCUCAUCUCAUUUGCUCAAAGGAGAAAAUGGAUAAGCAAACAAACACUUAUCCAUAUGUGCACCCGUGAUACACAGAGAGGUCACGCACACAGACGCACACGGUCAUCCAGUCAAAAGUGGGAACGAGUAGUAUAGUAAGUAGAUGGUAAGGUGGUACGCCUGUUUACCGGAGCGGUAGAACUCUUGCCUGUCUCAAACCGGCAAACGAGAAGUCAGCCCCUCCUCUCUCUCUCUCUCUCUCCACAUUAUUUUCCUCGAAUCUCGGCCUGCUUUUUCCAAGUCCCAUGACCGCCGUUGUGUUCUCUUGAUUGAUUGGUUGCCUUGCCUGAUACACGGCACAGAGCUGGAGCCCACGCGACGUACGUACGUACAUAUGGCUCGGCUUGGACGCAGCGAAUGCAAGCAGCACCGCACCGCGGCGGCCGAUGAACGUCGCCGUACGUAGUUAGGCGAGACACCGGCCGGUUCCACUCGCGGCGGCGGGGCCGGAAGGAGGAAGCCCGGCGUGUCCGUCCGUGCGUGCUCGUGGACGCGACGGCAAGGGAGGGAGGGAGAGGCGUGCGUGCGUGCGUGCGUGCAUGCAUGCAAGGACGGACCGGGCGGCGACCGAGGCGCAACGCGAUCGCAACGCACAGGAGCUUGCUCCCAGGCUUUGGUGCGCAGUCUGCGUACCAGUCUGCUGCCCGGCCGGCCGGCCAUCGCAGGUGUUCAGGCUUUGGUGCGCAGUCUGCGUGCCAGUCUGCUGCCCGGCCGGCCGGCAAUCGCAGGUGUUCAGGCCUGGCCCCGUCGCGAUGGGCAGCGCACCUGACAAGGCCGCCCCGUGAGGGAGGGAGCCAGCAACGCGUGCCCGGGCUUCCCGGAGCUCGAUCGCAGUGAACGUUUGCAUGUUGCAACCAGGAGUGGCCUGCCCUGCACUACCAUUUCGUGCGUGCCUCUUCGGUACGUACAUGCCCCUGCCUCCGUUCAUGGAAAGACUACACACUCAACAAUGCCCUCCAAUGAAAGAUGACGACUUGCUUAAUGCAAGUUUUAUAUAAAAAAAGGAGGCAUCCUCUACUUGGAAUGCAUCGUGGCAUAUUCGCAAAAAAAAAGAGAGAAAACAUUGCGGCAUGCGAACACUGAAAUUUUGUUUUCGGUACCCACACACCCCUCUAAAAAAGUUUACAUAUUUCGAUGCAGGUUAAAGAUGAAGAUUACAAGUUGCCCCUUCAAAAAAAUCAGAUUGUUCUAAUAUUUUAUUUCGGUCCGUUGGAAGAACGAGGAUCAACUAGAAGGGAUCGUUGGUGCUAUAAUCCUUGAUCAUAACGGGAAGUUUAUAGUGGCAACCAAUGAGAAGAUGAGCUUCUGUUUCGAUGUUUUUCAUUGCAAAGGUGAUAACGGUUAAAUUUCGGCUAAACUUGGCUAGAAUAGUCGGAUGUAGCAAGGUAGAGCUGGAAUCUGAUAACGUCGGGGUGGUUUCGACCUUACAAGAGGGAAGAUCGAGUUCAGUGACGGGACCUACCCUUGAUGAUUUCUACUACAUGACUUAGGACUUUAGGCAUGUUUUGUUCACUCGUUCUAACAGGGAGAGUAAUAAAGUUGCCCAUGAAAUAGCGAAGUUGGGUGGAUUUUCUACCCUUGGUACCUGGAUGGAGUCACCUCUAGUUGAGGUGGUCACGUUUAUUCUAUCUGAUAUGUCAGUUCUCACAAAUAAUUAAUUAAAGUAUCGUUUGUCAAAAAAAGGAUUAGAAUUAGUUGAUUGUGAGUGUCUGAGAAUACCCUUUUAAAUAACUUUGAGAUUCAUGUAGACAUUUAAGGUGGUGUACUGAAGCAAAAUGGGUCAAAGGCAAGAAACCACUAUAUUUGCGCCAUCACUUGGGCCAUCCAAGAUGGAGGUAGAGGAGGAGGUGGCUAUGAGGACGUGUAGAUGGAAGACUUAGAUCCCACCCAGUCCGGCAACUACACCCACACACAGUAGUCCUACACCCAGACGGGCACGGGCACACAUCAGCAAAAUUGGGCCGCUGGAUGGCAGGAGGAGGAAGGAGGAGGUCGGCGAGAACGAUGAUCCAGAUGAUUUUAUCGGCGAUCCAAAGAGCAAGGGUGGAGGAGAAAGCUUCAACAUGCAGGAGGACGAGCUGUUAUGCGAUGCAUGGUUGGUCACUAGCCUCGAUCUGAUCCAUGGCAUGGAGCAAAAGGGCACAACAUUUUGGCAAACAUUCACACAUGGUUUCAUGAACACAAGCAUUUUGCGUCCUGCCCCGACGCGGUCAUUCGCAACCGUGAAUCAAAGUCCCUCAACCAUUGAUGGUACACCAUCCAAGAGGCCGCGUCGAAGUACUGCAGACACUUGGUGCAUCUCAUCGCAUGGUGGCCUAGUGGCGCGCAAAUCACCGAGCAAGUAAGUUCAUUUGGCCGGAUUUGCAUACUUUUGUUGAUCACUAGCCGUAUAUACAUAAUUUUGUAGCCAGAUAUGCAUAGUUUUGCUGAUCACUAGCCGGAUAUGCAUAGUUUUGUUGCCAGAUCUAGCCGGACAUGCAUAGUUUUGUUGGUCACUAGCUGGAUAUGCAUUGUUGACAAUGUUUUAUUUUGUAGCCUUCUCGUGCGUAUACAGUGUUCAAGAAGUUGGAGAAAAAAAGUUCACCGUCAUGAAUUGCAUAUCCGGCUACAAAACUAUGCGAACACUGAAAUUUCAUUUCGGUACCCACACACCGUUUAAAAAGGUUUACAUAUUUCGAUUCAUAUUAAAUGUGAAUAUUUUAUGUUACCCCUUCAAUAAAAAAUAGAUUGUUAUAAUACCUUAUUAUUUCGGUCCAUUGGGAGAAAGACGAUCAACUAGAAGGGGUUGUUGGUGCUAUAAUCCGUGAUCAUAACAGAAAGUUUAUAGCGGCAACCAAUGAGAAGAUGAGCUUCUGUUUUGACGCUUUCACCGCAAAGGCGGGCAACAGAACAGUCGGAUGUAACAAGGUAGAGCUGGAUUCCGAUAAUGUCGAGGUGGUUUUUGGCCUUUCAAGCAGUGACGGGAACUAUCUUUGAUGAUUGCUACUAUAUGACUCAGGACUUUAACCAUGUUUUGUUUGCUCAUUGUAACAGGGAGUGCAAUCAAGGCCCCUUUUUUUUGACAGAAUCUGGGGAUUCUCCCAAGUUGCCCAUGAAAUAGCUAAGUUAGCUAGAUUUUAUACCCCCAGUACCUGGAUGGACUUGCAUCCGGUUGAGGUGGUCUCCUUUAUUGUAUUUGAUACGUUGGUUCUCACAAAUGAUUAAAUAAAAGCAUCGUUUGUCAAAAAGCAAAAGGAUUAGAAUUAGUUGAUUGUGAAUGUUUGAGAAUACCCUUUUAAGUUAGUUUAAGAUUCGUGUAAACUUUUAAGGCGGUGUACUGAAGCAAAUCGAGUGAAAUAAAAGAAACCACCACAUUUGCAUCAUCGCUGGCAGAAAAGGUGAUCUUUAAGGGAUUUUGUAUAAAAACAAUCGUGCGCAGGCACUGAUCGCUUGUUUUUGGCUCCGUUAAUCCCCUGAACUGACAGACCGGGCCCGCUUGCAGAUGUUGACGUGGCAAAAAAUAAUAUCAAUUGCAUACGGAUUUAAGUUUCUUUUGCAGAAAGACUCCUCAAAAGAAAAGAAAAAAAAAAGUGAUCGGGUCCCUCCCUCCAACUCCAGCCCCAUGCGCCUUCAUCUUCCCCUCGUCCAGUGGUGGAGGCCGGCUGCCAUACACAAGACACGUCCUCGUCGCUCUUGGUCACGUUCGGCUUGGCAGCGUGCCUGGCCGGCUCCGUCAUGGGGAAGGAGCCCCGCGGUAUUUUAAUCAAGAAGAAGGGUGUGCGUGAGGCACUGAAUGCUAAGAAGCACACUUGUUUAACAAUGACCAUGCGUGCAUGCAUGCAUGUGGUUCCAUUAUUAUUUUUGUUUGCCAUGCCAUGACACACGUUGCAUGUUCUCAAACGGACCUUCGCUACGUAGGAAAUGGUUCCCUGUGCUGUGAGUCCCUGCAUAUAACUGGAAGUUAAAAUAUUCAAGCGACCGGGAGGUUUGUGCACAUGCAUGGGAGAAGAGACGAAGCAGGAGUAGGCGCACAAGUCAACCGACGACACAAGAAGAGCCUCAACACUCCAUCCAUCCAACAGGCCAAGAGGAUGUCGGAGCCGAGCCCCACAUGGACAUGGAUGAGACGACCUGGGUCUUGGUGUUGCCAUGCUGCAUCCCCGAGCCGAAACAAGACAAGGACGCCAACACAUGGGUUCUGUACGCCUACGCCAUCGGCUCCCACCUAGUAAUAAUAUAUAGUACGUAGGUUUAGACGCGGCAGUCAACCGCCCAUCCCAUCCCGAUUGACCUGUCUCGUCCCCCGGCCCUCGCCUCUCUAGCUGCUGCCCGUGGCGUGGCGUGCGACCCGGCCGGCCGGCCAUACCGCAUUUUACCGCUGACUGCUGCCGUGCUGCGGGUGGUGGUGCGCGCGACGCCGGCGCGGGCUCGAGACGACACGCACCUCUCUCUCUCCAUCUUGCUUGCCUGUGGACUCAUCAUACUGGAUAGACACAUGAGGAGAGUGACAUACGAGACGCAUCCUGUGAUGGCGCGCUCGAUCCCCGCGCUACACAAAGCCAAGGUCGAUUUUAAUGAGCCCCGGACCUAUCCCGCCUGUCCCUACGCCCAGUCCAUGCGCCGCCCCUCUCUGCAACUGGGCCACGCCCCACCCGCCCUCGGCCUGGCGCUGACGUCAUGCCUGCAUGCUGGUCUUGCAUGCACUCGAGUGCUCCUCACCCACGCCUUGCCGUGUCACCUCCGCAGGCUAGCUACAGUCGCCCAUCGCCGGCCGGCGAAAGCCUAUCCACCUACCCUACCCUACCCUACCCCAGCAAUCGCUUGGCCAUGCCAAACCCCGGCGUCUCGUCUCGACACCGCUGCUGCCUCGUCUGUCGUCUCGACACCGCUGCUAGCUACACCCCCGUGCCGUGACGCUCUACCCAGGCCACGCACCGUGUCAGCCCGCCCGUCGCGCGCGGUCACAUUUCCCUUCUCCUCUCCUCUGCUCGUUGGGCACGCCGGCCGGGCAACCGGUCCGUCGUCUCCUCCCACGACCUCGCCUGGACCGAGGCCUACUACGAGGCCAUCUGUCGCACGCUCAGCGCCAGCGUCGGCGUCGGUCACUACGGGCCCCGCUCGACUACUACCUCACCUGGAGCACAUCGCCGGCGUCGGUCACGCUGAUUUCGUCUCCGUCCGCCUGCCCGACCACUGUCGGCUCACCGGAGCUCCUGCCCGCCGUCAUUCAUCACCUCGUGCGCCCUCAAAAUCGAUUAUAUAGGGUAAAAAUUUGGUUUUAAGGGACCUACCGAUGCCUGAUCGAUUUUUUUACUCCUCAUGUCGGCCACCACUAUAUUUACUCGACUGAGGCAUGUUCACUUGACAAAAAAAAUAUCCUUCUUCCUCGCUCACACCGCAUCCACUCCAAUGCCACCCAAAUCCCCUCCGCCCGCACUGCAGCUACGUACCCCCACACCCCCGUUGACACUUCCAAUCGGUUUGCACAAUGAGGAGUACAUGGCCGACCCCUGCCGGAUGCAUCCGGAGCUCGUCGCCGAGGAGCGUCGCCGGCUCAAGCUGCACGAGAAGGGGGGCGACGGACCGGAAGUGAUCGAUCUUUCGUCCAUCGACUCUCACCCCGACCACAACGGUGUGAAUCAAGAUGGCAACGAGGAUGAAACCCAUCGGAUUUUGCUUGCCCAAAUCCAUCCCCAUGAGAAAAUCACAAGCCUGUCCCCGUCCCCGUUACCGCGCGCGGGACUUGUUUUUUGCCCAUCCUCUAAACCCACAUGGAACCGGUCCCCGCGAGAAGUCAAUGAAGACAACAACAUUUGAAAGAAAAAUAGGAGAUGAGAUCGCGGCUACUACGAGAUGGGAUCGAGCCUAGGAGGCGGUUGGGGAACCUAGGUUUAGGUGUUUUGCUGUGUGGGAGAAAGAGAUUUGAGGAGCGAGCGACACUACAAUGACCGAGCGAGGGGUUGGUUUGUACUCCACGGCCUCGACGCUGGGGGCUCGUCCGCUCGGGCGCUGUGGCUUUGGGCCGCUUGAGUCAACAUGGAUCAAUGCAUGCUAAAAAAACAUAUUUUGAUGGGUGUUGUUGGGUUUUGGGUUCGGGUACUACUGACACGGGUUUAAACUCGCGAAACUUAUCGGGUUUUAUAAAGUACCCACUAGUAGUCUCGCGGGGAUAGAAAGACGCCCAUCCUCGUCCCCUAACAGCGUAAAAAACCAACGGGGACGCGGGUUUCGGGGCCCCAUUACCAUCUUGAGGUGUGAACUGGAAGAUAUAUAUCCUGGCCUAAGAAGACUACAACUAGUUUUCUUAGUUUUUUCGUUUGAAUCAGACUAGUUUGAAUUUGUAUUAUGCAAUGUAGUUUGAACCCAAUUGUGUUAUCUAUGUUUAUAUUCUUUUUUUGAAUGAACUCUAUGAUUAUAUUCGUGCUAUGCAAUGUAGUUCGAACCGAAUUGUGAUAUCUAUGUUUAUAUCUGUGUUACGCAAUGUAGUUUGAACCAAAUUGUGCUAUUUAUGUUUAUAUUCGUGUUAUGCAAAGAUGUUUGAAUCAAAUUGGGCUAGUGAUGUUUAAUUUGUGUGAUUUUGUAGGGAGUUAAAUUCAAGAGCCCAACACCAUCCACAACAUUUGGGCCAUACCUCAGGUCACCGGCCUAGACAUCCACUUGUGGCCCUAUCCAUCCUAUGGAAAAUUUGGGACUCUCUUUUUUUUUGCGGGUAAGAAAAUUCGGGACUCUCGAAAUGCGCAUGUCUUCCACCAUGAUUUGCAUGCUUCAAAUGUAACGAUCCAAAACAUUAUUCGAGACAUCUCCUUGUGGACCUUUGGAUGUAAUGCUCCCUCUCUAAAGGUGACGGCCAUAUCUUUCGUUUCUAACAACUACACUUUGAGUAAUGAUUCAGGUGGCGGCCUUCUCCCCUCGUUGAUUGUUAAAAAAAGCACACAUGAAAAAUUAGCAUUAGCUAUGGCACAACCUAUAAAAGCAAUUCUCUAUCGGGCUUGCUAAAAAUCAGUCGACUGAGAUUUAACCAAGUCUCAAUCGACCAUGUAACAUCUUGUCCCAACGUUUGUAACCUUUUUUCCUACCGGUUGCAGCAUCCGUCUUGUUGGUUGUAGCAUGUUGUCCCUCAUUGAUUAUAGCACAUCAUCUCACCGGUUGUAACAUCCGUCAUUGACGGUUGUAGCAUUUUAAUCACACCGGGUUGGAGCAUCAGUUGUCAAUGGUCGCAAAACUAUUGCAACAUUUUUCAUCAUAGGUUGUAGGCUGUAGCAUCUAGCCGUGCCGCUUGCAACAAAACAACUAUGCUGACGUCACUCGACUGAGACUUUGUUAAGUCAAGUCUCAGUCGACUGAGUUCUAGACAGACUCAUUUUCUAUUCAGUAUCUUCCCUAUAUUAUCAACUAUCAUACACCGCAGAAUUAAGAGAGAUUUUUGUUUUUGAAGUUGAAUUAAGAGACAUUUUGAUAUAAUCGUCAAAAUGUGUCCACGGAAUUUGGAGCAUCUUGCCUCGACACUGGCCCAACUUCUUGUCCCGCUGACGCGGGGGGCCUCCCAGCCAACAAAAAGUUUGCAGCAACCAUUUCCGUUCACCGUGGGACCCACUCGUCAGUAAUCCCCAAACCACGACCACGAGGCUCUUCCGCCCCUCCAGGCCGCCGGCGAGCCGCGCCGCCGCGCAGCACGUAGCAUCCCCGUCACACCUCCUGCGGAGCCACGGCGGUCGCCGACCUCAAAUGAGGGGAAUGGAGGGAGGCGAGGCGCCUGGCUAGGCCAACUGCGAUCGAGCACCCCAGGGGCUGGCCGGCGGUGACGUGCGCCUCGUGGACGCAGUGCGCCGCCGCGAUGCCCUGCGAGCUCUUCGAGAUCUUCGGUAAUUUGAAUCUAAACCCGCCCCGUUUCCCGAAAUCACGCUAAAUUUAUCGAUUUCGCGGGAGGCGCCUCGCGGACAGACAGACCUCUUAAUCUGAAUUUUAUUGACUGCAACUGUAAUCUGGUCUGAUCCAAGUCUUCAAUUGCGGCAUCCACCACGCAGCAGCACGACACACCACACAGCUUCAGUCUUCCUGCAUAUAGCAUUGUCGGUUUGAUGGGAUGGUGCCAUGGAGUUACCUAUAGCAAAAUGCUAGCCAGAAGUUUUUUCUGAAUUGUUGCUAGCCAGAAGUUCAGAACCAUGCCAAGAUGAUCAUGCUUGUUGGUUUAUUUAAUUUCUGUUUCGUUAGUAACCCACUUUGCUGAGACUAGCCAGAGGUAGUACUGAGUAGUAGUAGUAGUAGUAGUAGUAGUAGUAGUAGUAGUAGUAGUAGUAGUAGUAGUAGGUAAUUCGACUUCAACGAUGUUCUUGCUUAUCUAAGAGGCGCAGGAGGGGUUGGUAGGUCUGAUUAAACAUACAAGUUUGCUGUACGUACGCUAAGUCGUUAAUUGGGAUCUGUAAUACAUUUAGUUGAAUGGCAUAUAUGAACACAUCCGUUUGACAUGUAUUAGGAAGAAAAAAGAUAGGCACUCCUUGUCGCUUCCUCCCUGGCAAGGCACUACCUUGAUGUGUAUCCUGAGCACGACUUAUAACAAUUUUAGGGAAUGAUUUAUGAGGGGGUAUCCUUGAUUCCCAUGCAAUUAGAGUGAGGUCUCCUUUCGGUCUAACACUAGGAUCUGUUAUAAGUCCCCCAAAAUGUCACACUUCACCAUUCCUUCUUGAUUGAGACAUUAACACUAUAAGGUGCCAUGCUAAGUGAAUGUUAAGCAAUGCCCGUUAUGUCCACUCGAUGGCCUUUGCCACAACACGUUGCCGCGGCGGUCGCCGGACGUGAGCAGAGGAUACAAGCUGCUGUGGAGAGCAGCCACACCAAGGAAGAAGAAGAUUCAGGGUAGAAGAAGCAAGCAGGCGAUGUAGAAAGUUUGUUUAGUUCAGUUCGAUGAUUUUUCCUUGGCAGCUGCUACAUCGAUCUUAUCGUCACCAAGCUGAACAACAAGUCCAUCGCGUUAGCCUAUGGUCCAUGUCCGAUGAGCCCAGUGUACCUCUACUCAUGGAUAUGACAGCUUUGUUCCAUAUGCAUGGUUGGGUGCACGCCAUAUAUGUAGAGGAUCUUUUAGCCAUUCUUAUCGCCUUGUCCAAAAUAUGCAAUGCCAGAACUGAACAUUGAGUCUGCUUGUCAACCCAUCCAUGAACAUAUUUAUUAGGACAAGUGAGUUAGGCUACAGUCUCGCAGAGAGAUGGAACAACAUAGAUCCCCAAUCCUUGAUCAGGUUCUUAUUCCGAUCAUCACCACACACAUGAGCAACCGAAGUUUUCUUCCCAACUGCGACACCACCUAUGAGUGGAAGAACGUCCAAUACAUGAUCACUUGGAGGAUCGUUCUGCUCCAGCAAGAAGCUCAAGAGCCUUUUCUUUUCAGCGUGUUGGCUGAACAUAAAGUUGUCAGGUGUAAAGAUAAGUGUCAUAUGGCCUGCUAGUCAUGCACUCACAUCCACCCAGAAGCACAACAAAUUCUGACAUGUUAGCAACAACAAUUUUUAAGCUCUGCAAAGCAGCAUGUGGCUUGAGGAGCAUGGCCUUGUCGUCUUUCCCCGUUGUUGUUAGAGAACACUUGAGGGGAAUGGCUAAAUAUAAACUGCUGCUACAUGAGACAUUGCUGCUAACCUCGUCGAAGCCUGCAGUAUCUUCGAGGGCUAUGUACCUCGAGGUAUCAUGCAGAUGGUGUCCUCUUGGAGCAUCUUGAGCUGCAUCAUCAUCCCGGAGUUGCUUAUGUAUUGACUGUCCGCCUCCUUGACUAUGGUGCCAACUCUUAUCAGGAGAUGCUGCAACCUGUCCACCACCUUCUCCUCUAAUUGUGCAUUGCUGGAGGAGUGGUACUUGCUCACCAGGAAGGAGACGAAUAAGCUCACUAGUUCACUUGCAACUGCAGAUAUGGUAACCUCCAUGGCUGGGUUGAUGAGGUAAGCUGCUGGUAGGUCUGUGGACAAAUUUAACUAGGCUGGCCUCUGCCAAGUCUUGAAGAGACUAUUGCUAAAAUUGAAAAUGCUCCAGGGAUGACUAAACAAUUGACUGUGAAGAGUGAGUGGGUGGGUCGGUGGGAGGCACAGAUAUUUUUUUAAAUGCCCAAACACGUGACAAGAACAAGCCAAGUUUCCAAGUAGCUAGCAUACAAAAAGUUGAUCGACCAGUAUUUGUAACAUUCACGGUUGUCCCGCUGCAAAAUGUAUAUUUAACCAUCUUUGCAUUUGUCUUUCUUUGGACUCCUUAUGUUUUACAUACGAGGGAAUGACAUCCCAUAUAUGUGCAGUCUACUAUUGCAAUGUUUGACCAUGGAAAUUGUUUGGGUUUUUCUAGAUGAACUUCAGUUGUAACGCCCCGGAUCCGAUGCGCCAGGUGUCUGCCAGUUAUUCGUCGUUGUUGCCAUGUCUUCUGCUUGCGUGUUGCAUUUUUGUUCAUGUCAUGGAUCCCAUAUCAUGUCAUCAUGUGCAUUGCAUUUGCAUACGUGUUCGUCUCAUGCAUCCGAGCAUUUUCCCCGUUGUCCGUUUUGCAAUCCGGCACUCCCAACUCCUCCGGCACACCCCUCUUGUUUCUUUCCGUGAGCGGGUGUUGAACGUUCUCGGAAUGGACCGAGUCUUGCCAAGUGGCCUUGGUAUACCACCGGUCAAGUUUCGUUCCAUUUGAAGGUCAUUUGGUGAUCCAACGGUUAACCGGGCAACCGCAAAGUUCGUUUGUGUGUUGCAGAACCCCCCCCUCAAAACCAGCCCAAAACCCACCAAACUCUCUUCCAUGCUGUAGGUCGUUCGAUCACGAUCGUGUGGGCGAAAACCGCACCUCAUUUGGACUCUCCUAGCUCCCUCUAGCUAUAUAAGUGCAUCCCCUUCCGAAAACAAUCGCAGACGAAACCCUAACCUCGCCUCCGGCGCCGCCGGACAUUUCUUCCACCGACGGACGUGUCCAUUUUCACCGCCGCCGCCACGUGUCGCCUCCGGAUUCGCCGCCGCCGCGCCCACUUCGCCGUCGCCGCCGGCCCGCCCGAGCCCGCGGGAGGCCCUCCCGGGUCCGAGCGCCUCACGCCUCCNNNNNNNNNNNNNNNNNNNNNNNNNNNNNNNNNNNNNNNNNNNNNNNNNNNNNNNNNNNNNNNNNNNNNNNNNNNNNNNNNNNNNNNNNNNNNNNNNNNNNNNNNNNNNNNNNNNNNNNNNNNNNNNNNNNNNNNNNNNNNNNNNNNNNNNNNNNNNNNNNNNNNNNNNNNNNNNNNNNNNNNNNNNNNNNNNNNNNNNNNNNNNNNNNNNNNNNNNNNNNNNNNNNNNNNNNNNNNNNNNNNNNNNNNNNNNNNNNNNNNNNNNNNNNNNNNNNNNNNNNNNNNNNNNNNNNNNNNNNNNNNNNNNNNNNNNNNNNNNNNNNNNNNNNNNNNNNNNNNNNNNNNNNNNNNNNNNNNNNNNNNNNNNNNNNNNNNNNNNNNNNNNNNNNNNNNNNNNNNNNNNNNNNNNNNNNNNNNNNNNNNNNNNNNNNNNNNNNNNNNNNNNNNNNNNNNNNNNNNNNNNNNNNNNNNNNNNNNNNNNNNNNNNNNNNNNNNNNNNNNNNNNNNNNNNNNNNNNNNNNNNNNNNNNNNNNNNNNNNNNNNNNNNNNNNNNNNNNNNNNNNNNNNNNNNNNNNNNNCCCGUGGCCGGCUCCUCCCGCCGCGGCCCCGCCGUCCCCGGCGAGCGCCGCCCUCCGCCGCGGCCUCCCUCUCCUCUCCCGUCGCCGGCGAGCUCCCUCGAGCCAGCCCCGAUCGGAUCUGGUGAGCCCGCGCGUUUGACUUUCUCCUCUCCUCCCCCGAAAAAUUCUCCAAGUCCUCUAAGUUUCACAGUAUAUGGCCAUGUUCUCAGCAUCAUAACUCUCUGCAUAUAGCUCCGUUUCGCGCGUGUAAUAUAUCAAAUUGUUCGUCUCGUGAUGCUCUUCAUUUUGUUCAAUUGCACCAUGUUCAUUAGAGGCCAUCUUGAUGCCCAAAGCUCUGGUGCAAGAGUGGUAGUUGCUGCUGUCUGCUGGUUCUUAGCAGAACUUGGAGAUUUGACAUUUUUGUAUCAUUUAAUCGGUGCAUCUUAUGGGAAUGAGCUCUACAUCUGUUUUGUUGUAUGCCGUGCCAUCUUUCCAGUGGUGUAUUCCAUGUAUUUUUUUGAUCUCUGUGGUGACUAGCACAAGCAUGCAAACUAGGCCCCGUAAUGUUUCUGAUUUCAGAGACUUAGUAAUUUCUCCAAGUCUUUGUCUGCUGUUAUUUUGUUGCCAUGUAAACUUGAUGUUACAGAGAGAUUCAUGCAUAUUUUUGAGAUGUCCAGUAAGGAUGUUUUGUAGAUAUUGUUGUAAUAGAUCCAUUCCUGCCCUUGUUUGCAAUUAUGGAGUGCCAUAGCAUGACUUAAUAUUGCUCUACUUUAGCUAUAAAAUGUUCCUGAUAGAUUGUUUACGUGUUAUUCAAUUUUGCCAAACUUGUUGUAGUUGAUCCUUUCAUGCUAUGUAUUUGCUCUUGCCAUGGAUAGCUUCAUAAACAUGCCAUCUUGCUGUAGUUAUGCUUUUUUGGUCAUGAAUUGCUUUGUGGUGAGUGCAUCAAGCUCGCAAAGAUGCCUUCAUAUUAUAGUUUCUGCCAUGCUCUGUUUUCUGCCAAGUCUGAAACCUGUUAACGAAACUUGCUAUGUUUACAUGGUUUCCAUCAUAUCUUCUGGUCCUUUUUGGCUUAUGGUCAGUAAGGGACAUUUGUUAUAUGCGUUGAGUAGAUUCAUUCCAUGCCUUUCUUUGCUAUGAUAAGUUCCUGUAGCAUGUUGAUUUCGUGCUCUGAACAUUGUAACCUGAUGUUAUUUCUGGCAUGCCCAGUCUGUGAAUCUGUUAUUAUUUGCAAUCUUGCCAUGUCCUUUUGAGCUUGUUCUAGUGAUUUCUGGAGAUAGAUUAGUGUUCAUGUUUUGUUGUGCUUUACCUGUACAUCAUGUCCAUGCCUUUUGUUUUCAUGUUGAGGUGCUGUAGCAUAUUGUUUUGAUGCUUUCUAGUUGCAUAGUUGCUGUUUUGGACAGAUUGUUGCUAUAUAUGGUUUGGAGUGUAUGUGUUGCACCGUUGCUCCGUUUUGAUCAUGCUCCAUAUGAAACUUGCUUAGAUUUGUAUGUAGUUCCAUAUUAUCUUGUUGCAUCCUUGUUUUGAGGUGUUUGUUUGAUGUUUGUAUGCAUUUUGCAUCAAUGCCAUGUUUACCUUGUUUUGUUCAUAUCUUCUAGACCGUAGCUCUGAAUCUGAUGAACUUUAUAUGUAACUUGACUAGAUUUUCGUGUAGAUCAUCGUGGUGCAUCUUAACUUGCUGUUUAACAACUUCAACUUAAUGCUUGUUCAGUUCUGGACCAAUAUAUGAGGACUUACCGGAAUUGUUAUAUGUUGUUUCCGGCCUCAUUUAAACUUGCCUUGGUGUGUUGUUCUUGUAUGCAUCAUCUCUCGUCAUGAGUAGCUUCAUAUAGCCUUGUCAUGCAUCAUACUUGGUUGAGCAUCAUGCCUUGUUCAUGUGUGGUGUGUUUACCAUGUUGUGUGCUUCUUCUCGAUAGUUUCCGUGUCGUUGCGAUCGUGAGGAUUCGUUCGUCUUCGUGGCUUCAUCUUCUUCAUGGAUUCGUUCUUCUUCCUAGCGGGAUUUCAGGCAAGAUGACCGUCACCUUGGAUCUCAUUACUAUCAUUGCUAUGCUAGUUGCUUCGUUCUAUCGCUAUGCUGCGCUACCUAUUCACUUGCUCUCCAAGCCUCCCACAUUUCCAUGAACCUCUAACCUUUGUCACCCUUCCUAGCAUACCAUUGUUUGGCUAUGUUACCGCUUUGCUCAGCCCCUCUUAUAGCGUUGCUAGUUGCAGGUGAAGAUGAAGAUUGCUCCAUGUUGGAUUAUGUUUAUGUUGGGAUAUCACAAUAUCUCUUAUAUUAUUAAUGCAUCUAUAUACUUGGUAAAGGGUGGAAGGCUCGGCCUUAUGCCUGGUGUUUUGUUCCACUCUUGCCGCCCUAGUUUCCGUCCUACCGGUGUUAUGUUCCUUGAUUUUGCGUCCCUUACGCGGUUGGGUGAUUUAUGGGACCCCCUUGAUAGUUCGCCUUGAAUAAAACUCUUCCAGCAAGGCCCAACCUUGGUUUUACCAUUUGCCUAGCCUAUUUCUUUUCCCUAGGGAGUCGCUCUCUCGAGGGUCAUCUUAUUUUAACCCCCGGGCCAGUGCUUCUCCAAGUGCUGGUCCAAACCGAGCGAUGUCCGGCGCCCCCUGGGCAACCAGGGUCUAUGCCAACCCGACGUCUGGCUCAUCCGGUGUGCCCUGAGAACGAGAUAUGUGCAGCUCCUAUCAGGAUUUGUUGGCACAUCCGGGCGGCUUUGCUGGUUUUGUUUUACCAUUGUCGAAAUGUCUUGUAACCGGGAUUCCGAGACUGAUCGGGUCUUCCCGGGAGAAGGAAUAUCCCUCGUUGACCGUGAGAGCUUAUAAUGGGUUAAGUUGGGACACCCCUGCAGGGUAUAAACUUUCGAGAGCCGUGCCCGCGGUUAUGUGGCAGAUGGGAAUUUGUUAAUAUCUGGUUGUAGAGAACUUGACACUUGACCUUAAUUAAAACGCAUCAACCGCGUGUGUAGCCGUGAUGGUCUCUUCUCGGCGGAGUCCGGGAAGUGAACACGGUUUCUGGGUUAUGUUUGACGUAAGUAGGAGUUCAGGAUCACUUCUUGAUCAUUGCUAGUUUCACGACCGUUCCUUUGCUUCUCUUCUCGCUCUUAUUUGCGUAAGUUAGCCACCAUACAUGCUUAGUCGCUGCUGCAACCUCACCACCUUAUCCAUUCCUUUCCCUUUAAGCUUUGCUAGUCUUGAUACCCAUGGUAAUGGGAUUGCUGAGUCCUCGUGGCUCACAGAUUACUACAACACCAGUUGCAGGUACAGGUUUUUGUGAUGAUCAUGGCGCGAGAGCGAUGUUGAUUGUUUUUGGAGUUCUUCUUCUGCUUCUUCUUCGAUCAGGGGAUAGGUUCCAGGUUGGCAGCCUGGGCUAGCAGGGUGGAUGUCGUUUGAUCUUCUGUUUAUCUUUCAUCCGUAGUCGGAUGUUGAGCUUAUGUAUGAUGUAUUGUUGUAUUCUUGCGGCAUGUGUAUGCCUUGUAUGUAUCCCCAAAUAUUAUGUAAUGUUGAUGUAAUGAUAUCCACCUUGCAAAAGCGUCUUCAAGAUGCCCUUCUAUCCUUGGUGGGACCUUCGUGUUCCUUUCGGAUAGGGUCGCAUCUUGGCGUGACAAGUUGGUAUCAGAGCCUCGACCGACCCUAGGACCCCCCCUUGAUUGAUCGUGUAGCUUGGCCAUUGUUGAGUCUAGAAGAAAACUUUUUCUGAUUCUAGUUUUAUCGGAGAGUAGGAAUUCUUUUUACUCCUCAGCCCCUUCGUCGCUCUGGUGAGAAAUCUUGACGUAGGUGUUUCGACUUACUUCUCUUCCCCUUCAAAUUUUUCUUCAGGAUCACGUGGUUAGUUUUCGUUCGUUGCCCAUCCUCUUUUCAAUCCGGCGCAUUUCUCUUCGAGUGGUUUCGAUACUCGUCAUCUUUUGCUAGAUUAUUUCUCAUCUCUUUUCAACCGAGGUCGUUUUCCCUGUCUGUCGUGGAAUUGUCACGGCAGAUGUCCUUAGCGUGAGGACUUAGUGGUGAGGCCAGCGCAUCUAUGUAGUAGCUUGAGAGGGGUUGGUUGGGAUCGAGAGACGCAACACAAGACAAGGGAUUUAGACAGCUUUGGGUCCCGGGAAACAUCAUCCGGUAACAACCCUACGUGCUGUUUGGGGCUAGGUCUCAUUAUGAUCACGGGAGAGUCGCCGGUCCGGCUCUCGGUGUUUAGCCCUAGAGAUUAUUUCUUUUUUGCUUGUCCCUCUUUGGGGUGCCCUGCCCCUCCUUAUAUAAGUUAGAGGGGCGGGUUACAUGUGGAGUCCUAGUAGGACUAGGACUAAUCUAUCUUCUCUUACAAGUUAAUUACAAGUCCGGGUCUUGCUUCCUCGUAAAGGAAAUAUUCGUCAUCCCUUUCUUCUUAAGCCGGCCUAUCAUAAACGUGAGCCGGCCUUCUGGGCCUUGGGCCUAGUCUUCUAUCUGACCCACCGUCUGGGUCAUCCGUGAGUCGUCAGGCUCGUGAGUCGUCUGACAGUGAGCCGCCAGACCCGUGAGUCUCCAGUCCUCCGGCGGGUCACGGUGAAGCGCCAAGUCCGGCCGGGUCAUACUUCCGGCCGGGUCAUACCGCGGGGUAUAUCCCCGACAUUAGCCCCCAGUUUAAUUUGGAUUUAUCCAUGUUAAACUAAUCUGCAAUAUAAACACAAGAACAAAUUUGACAGGUUGUGUUCCGGGUUAAAUAUUCUUUGUAAGCCGGCACUUUGAUCAUCCUUAAGUCCUUGUCAUCUUCCUUCUUGAUAUAUAUCCAUAAUCUCAUAGCAAAUCUCUUUAGCAGAUAUGUUCAAAUUUUGCCAAUGCAAAAAAUCCAGAUACUUCCUUUGAAAAAUCCGGGUCAACAGGCCAGCUUCAGAGUCAAUUUGCUGACAUUGGUCUCUUGUUGAGAAAUAUUGUAAGAGAUAAUCCACUUGAGUCGUCUUUCAAUGCUCUGACUUGAAAAAAUAUUGGUCUUCAAAUAUUCAACUUAUAUUCAGCGGGCUUAAAGAUAUAAAACUUGCCGGUUUAUGAGUACCAAAAUUGCCGGGUUAUAAAUAGAUGAUGCCAAGUCAUAAUUGUCGCCGACGCCGGUUUAUGAUUUUUGCAGACACCAGAUCAAUCUGAUUUACUCAAAACUGAGAAUUUGAAGAUAUUUCUCCCUUAUAUCCAUAUUACCUGUAGCCCCCAAGAGCCGGUUUAAUCAGCAUGAAUAAUCCGGAACUUAUCACCAUGGCUUUAAAUAAAAUCCAGUUGUGUAGCCCCCAUGAGUUGGCUAUAGUCAUAGUAGUGUAGCCGGGUCAUCCUAGAAUUGUCUUGAAUUUUUGGCAGGACCAAUUGGCAGCCCCCAAGGGCCGGCUCAUUUAGAAUGUGAUGAGUCGUGUCUUCAAUAAGUUGAGCAAAAAAUGACUUUGCAUUAGCCCCCAAGUGCCAUGGUACAUGCUGGCAGUGACAUGGGACUUGCAUAUUUGAUGUAAUAUCAAAUUGAAUAAUGUAGCCCCCAAGUGCCGGGUCGUAAGCCUGCAGCGACUCGGGACUAUUCCUUCCAUUGUAGAAUAAAUCAUAUCCAUUGAUAAAAUAAUAGCCAUUGCGGCAAAGCGAUUUUGAAUACCUCAUCUGUUGAUAAGUAAAUCCGGAGUUUAAAUACCCAGCGGCUCUUGGCCGAUGGCGAUUUAAUACGCCUCCAUUGUAAGCCGGGAUUUGUACAACCCGGCGGCUUAUAGCCUUUGAGAAAAUCAAGAAUUGACAACCCUUUUGAGACACCAAUUUCCAUCUUUGAUGAUGGGCUUGAACUUAAUCAUUUAUGUAAGUCAUAGCUCUGUAAAUCCUGCAGAGUUUAAACAACAUAUGCCCUGGCGACUUAACGUCAAAAACCAGGGCGGGUAACCAUCCAAAUGUAAACUUAUCCUGCACAUAAUUAGAUCACAAGAACCCUUGGCGGUUUACUGUGAUAUUGAAUUUUCACUGCCGGUUUAUAUGACCUGUGCAGUAAGGGUGAUAACCCAAUCCUUAGAAGCCAAUGCUUCCACAUAGAUGAUGAUUGUCAUAAGAUGGCGACUUAUCAUCCAAAGUCAUACCGGGUUAAAUAGCAACCACUCAUAUACACUUUAGAUAUGAUCAAAAGAGCUUCAAAUAAAAUCCAAAAAUUGUUUGCAAAAAGAGAUUUCAAAAAAUUUGAGGCUUCUGAUUCGAAUAUGAUCAGAAAACCGUCCCAAAGGGGUUAAGCUAAGAUUCGAAUAUGAUCAUAUAGCCCCCAGUGGCUUUGGCGUUGCCGAUCAAGAGGGUACCGACAGCUAUGUUCUCUUUGGUUCGAAUACGACCUAUGUUUGAACAGGAAGCCCCCAAAUGACCUUGAGAGUUGUUUAACGACGCUGAUUCGAAUACGAUCCACGUCGGUUCCCAAAGGGGGUUGAGCUAUGGUUCAAAUAUGACCAAGAAACUCCCCAAUGAGCUCAGCAGUGUGCCGAUCAAAAGGGUAUCGACAGCUAUGUUCUCUUUGGUUCGAAUACGACCUAUGUUUGAACAGGAAGCCCCCUAGUGAUCAUGAGAAUAUUUAACGACUCCGACUCGAAUACGAUCAGGGUCACACCAAAAAGGGUUAAGCUAAAUUUGAAUACGAUCAGCUCCCAAUGGUCAUUAAAGCAGGGUACCUAUGUUUGGGUUGUGCUUUGCAACAGACUCUUUUUGGUCCCUUUAAUUUUUCCUGAGAACUCGAACUUUUGCGAGAGACAACCUCUUUUUGAACCGGAAAUUUGUAAACCGGAUAUUGAGAGCUUCAAAGCUUUACAAGAUAUAAAUUUACCUUGAGCCGGAUGUUAAACCGGAUAUGGAGAUCUUCAAAACUUUGAGAGAGACAGAUUUCUCUUGAACCGGAUUUCAAACCGGAUAUUGGCAAGACUUGCUGAGUCAUACCAUUGUAGCCCCCGAGUCUUAAGACGACUCGAGGAGUUGUCUUGAGAUUCUCCAUAUUUGACCAUAGCAGAAGGUAUAGACAUUGGUGUUGAUAGCGCGAUGUGAAUCCACAGAAUGUUGAGGUGACUGCGGUGGGUUAUAAAUGAUCCCCUAUGAGCCGUGUCAGCAACUCGGCCAAUGGUUCCUUCCAACUGGAUGUUUUUGAAGUUAAUCAAACUGUAGUGGCGGCGACUUAUGCGCCUGCCCAUUGAGCCGUCCAGUGCAGACGGCGGCUGAUAACACAUGAUAAUUUGCCUCCAAUUUGUCGGAACAAAACUGGGCUUCCCAAGCAGUGACUCGCUCAUAUUCAAUAAACAACUCAUGCAUACAGGUGCGGCCCAGUGUGGUUAUAUACACCAACCCGCGAGAGACGGAUGGUAAAGACGACGAUUGCAUCAGAGGCGGCACAGACAGAUGAUCCGGCCGUGGUGUUGUAAGCCGGUGCGGAUGAGCGAGUUAAGCACAUCGUUUUGAUGUAGUGAACAAUUGUCCUGCAUCAACACUAUUGCAGACCAAGACAAAGAUAAACUGCUCUUUGAUAAAAAAUAAUAUGUACCAAUAAAAUAUAUUUUAGAUAGAUAUCACCUGAUGUGACAGGCCGGAAAUAAUCCGCCAUGAAAUUAACAAUUGCUAGGUGAAGUUGACGUCGCUCACGGGUGAACCGGCCGCGGCGUGGUAAACCGGUGCAGACGGGUGAGUCUACCGUGGCGUUGUAAGUCGGUGCAAACGGGUAAAUUGUCCUCCUCGUUGUAAACCGGCGCGGUCGCAAGAAACGACCACGAUGUUUUAAGCCGGUGUGGUCCGCAUCCGCGGUAUAAGGCCACUUUUGUAGUAAAUGGUUACCCUGCAUAUAAAAAACACUGUAGAGCAGAGUAGUUGUGCUCGAAUAAAUUAAUACGUGCUUUAAAAAAUAAGCAGGAUAAAAUAGCACCUGGUAUUUUUAUCGGAUGAAUACGGAUGCGGCCUUUAGCGCGUAAUUGGUCUCCACGUGUGGGUACCUCAUGCAUUUUACGCAGAUUGAUCUCUCUGUAGCAACAGUAGUAGCUCUAGUAACCAAGGGGUACAACAUCCUUGAAUUCACGUGGAUUGAAUAGUACUCCCAGUAGUUGACAUGACUUGUCUUGAUCAAAAUGGAAGCAGCAAUGGCCACAACAAAGCCAGUGAAAAGAAUAAGGGAACCGGCAACUCUCCUUCGCUUGAUUCUUCUCACGCGUGCACCAAUAUUAGAAGUAGUAUGACGACAACUCAGUAGGGAUGAGCGAGUCAUGAUAGCGCGUGCGCGGAGCAAAGCAGGCGGCUCACUUGGCGACUCACGCCCCUGCUGGAGGCGAAGACCAGGUUGAGCGCGGAGGAGCGACGGGCCAAGGCAGCAAGGCAGAGGCAACACAAAGGCGCAACGGAAGAGGUGUGAACACAGCAGCUCGUAGACAGCAUGAGAUAGCAUGGCGGUUUCAGUGACAAGGGCCACAACAGCUCGGGGCCCGACGGCGCCUUGCAGGCGGCUGCGGCGGCUCGACGGGGUUCAUCUCAUAACGGCUUGGAGGAAACCAAGCAGAGGGGCGGCUCUCAGGCAGCGCACGGCCGGGGCGGCUCACCACGUCAAGAUGAAGCCCCAGCCACGACGGGUCAAAGGCCGGCGACUCAGCGGAGGCGAGUCCGUGGCGAGGUGAGGGCGGCUCAUGGUGCGGGAUCUUGCGCAGGGGGAAGCCGGUUCACUGGCGCCGUGGUGCCGAUGUGAACAGCCUGCGAUUUGACUUUGGCAGUAGCGAUUCAUGAUAACCGGGCUGGUAAAAACCGGCUUGCCCCGUAGCGGUGACAAUUCUCGUAAAAGCCCUUAGCGGAUCACAGUCCUGGUCAAAGAGGCACAUAAAUCGGCAGCCAGGAUCGAGGCGCGGACGCAGAGGCGCGUGGCCGCGGGGCCGGCUUGAAGCUUCGACGGAGACGGCCACGAGGCCGGACGGCUUGAUAUGGUAGGCCACGGCGGCGGAUGCAGAAAACUGCAGGAUGAAGUCGCGGUGGCGGUAGAAGAUACUGCGGGCGGUUGGCUCGCGCCUGCGGAGGCGACGAGACGGGUGCUGUUCAGCCGUAACCCGGAGGCCGGCUCACGGCGGAUGUUGUGCGAGGCCCAGACAGCUGAAGGAUGCCAACGCGAGGCGGCUUGGUGCUACCGCGAGGGUGGAGGCGAACUUGUGGGCGUCAGUUUUCGCAGAGACGCGCCGGCUCAAUCUGCAGGCGACGUCGCGUAAGGGCGGAGGUGACCUCAGCAGCAGCUCAGAGUAAUCCGGGUCGUGGCCGAUUCUGCAGCGUUUUGAGGUAACGCACACGAUAAAAAAACCAAGAUGCGCCCCGGUGUCGUCUCAGAAGCGAUGCAGGCGGCUCGUCUAAGCCCAACGGCGACCCGGGGGAGGUGAAGCGCGACGACGACUCAGCCGGGAGGCGAGGGGUGAUGCAGGCGGCUUAGAGGUAGCAUUGCAGACCGGGGCGGCUCUUCAUGCAUCGGCCAUGGUGGGUCAGCGAAGCGCGGGUGCCCGUGGUGGAUAUGAACCGGGCCGGUUGACCCUCAGUCCACGCCCAUGCCCUCUACAUCGCGGCUCUCUUCUUUUUUUAACUCUUUUCCCUGAAAUCCAUGCAGGUACAGUAAUUGCACAGGGGCUCUUCCCGUGGACGAGACAUGGGCAUCCAUUAGCCCCGUAGACAUUUGAUUUUUCCACGUCUGUCUGCGAUCCGUACUGUAGAUAUUGGUGCUAGGCUGAUCUAGAAACCUUGCGAGGCCGCAAGCGGCCGCCGUGCGUGACUCGGGUUCGGACGGUUGUAUUGGAAGUAGUGAUAGCAACUCGCAUAUUACCAUAAAGCGGCGAUUUAUCUCAGCAAGACCAGAUCUUUUGCCGGUCUCGGCGGAUCGGUGGUGCGGCAGUGCACAGCUGGAAAUAUCUCCUGUUGGCUUCGACGGAUCAUCAGACGAGAGCGGCAGUAACCCUAAUUUUUCCUGAACCUUAAAUUUCAUAGAUCCUAAAUCUGGACUGGUGACUUUUGAAGUUGACGCAAGUCCUCUUAAACCGGUUCAUCCGGAAAAUUGCAGACUUCUCGAUCCCUAAAAGUGAUCCCUUCAAGAACUCAACACCACCGUGCGCAGGCCCCACGGUGGGCGCCAACUGUCAUGGAAUUGUCACGGCAGAUGUCCUUAGCGUGAGGACUUAGUCGUGAGGCCAGCGCAUCUAUGUAGUAGCUUGAGAGGGGUUGGUUGGGAUCGAGAGACGCAACACAAGACAAGGGAUUUAGACAGCUUCGGGUCCCGGGAAACAUCAUCCGGUAACAACCCUACGUGCUGUUUGGGGCUAGGUCUCAUUAUGAUCACGGGAGAGUCGCCGGUCCGGCUCUCGGUGUUUAGCCCUAGAGAUUAUUUCUUUUUUGCUUGUCCCUCUUUGGGGUGCCCUGCCCCUCCUUAUAUAAGUUAGAGGGGUGGGUUACAUGUGGAGUCCUAGUAGGACUAGGACUAAUCUAUCUUCUCUUACAAGUUAAUUACAAGUCCGGGUCUUGCUUCCUCGUAAAGGAAAUAUUCGUCAUCCCUUUCUUCUUAAGCCGGCCUAUCAUAAACGUGAGCCGGCCUUCUGGGCCUUGGGCCUAGUCUUCUAUCUGACCCGCCGUCGGGGUCAUCUGUGAGUCGUCAGGCUCGUGAGUCGUCUGACAGUGAGCCGCCAGACCCGUGAGUCUCCAGUCCUCCGGCGGGUCACGGUGAAGCGCCAAGUCCGGCCGGGUCAUACUUCCGGCUGGGUCAUACCGCGGGGUAUAUCCCCGACACUGUCCGAACUUGUCUUUGUUUUUUCCCCACCCGCCAACCCUUUUUCUUCUCAGAACUGGAGUUCGUAGUCGAGUAUCCAUCCUACUCGUGCAAAGCCUUUGCAUUAUUUCCUCAAUGAUUUCAGACGGUGCUUUUUCUCUUCAAAGCUAUUCGUCGAUUUCCCCUUCCAAGUUGCCGUUGUUUUACCGCCCUCCCACCCUUUUAUUCCCGGAGUCUGAGCCGCUAUUCAAGCAUCUAUUUCAUUCGUGUGGAGCUUCUUCAGUUUUUCCUCAAUUAUUUCAACCGAUGAAUUUUUGCCUCGUUCGACAUUCUUCAUCUCUUUUUGUUCUCCGGUGGAUUCAAUUCCAAUUUUCGGUAGUGAUUAUAUUCUUUUCCUUGGAUCAAAUGCUUCCACUUGUUCGUUCGCUUCUCGCCAGUUUAUCCUUCCGUAGUGCUCAAGACAUCUCAGGAGAUUUGUCUGGGUUCAAAUUAAUUCGAGGUUGUCACCUCAUUCAAAUAUCUCAAUUCUUCCGGUGCAUCAUCUAUCUGAUCAACAAUCCUUUUCUCAACGGUGUUUCUUUUCAGUGGGCCCUAACCCACAGGUCUUUUCCCAGGAUCUUACCUGACUCUUCUAAUUUUCCGGAGCUAUUCUCAAAUUCUUUUCGAUGUUUGACGCAAGUAUGUAUUUCAUCAGUCAGACAUUUUUCCAAGAUCAAUUUCAAAUUCUGUCAUGAUCGGGUCAACCUUUUUCCUCUUUUCAUUCUCCCGGAGUAUCUCAUCAAUUGCGGUGUUGUUUCUCGUCGUCAUUCCAAUAUUUGAGGACCGAAGUAGAGUUUUCCUCUAAAUCUUGCCCGUUCUCCCGGAGAUUCGCGGUGCUAGCUCGAUGUUACCCUAUCAAAUUGUUUCUACUCGUGCAAUUAUUUUCACCCAUCCGGAGUAUCUCAGGAGUUGUUUUCCGUCUCAAUUAUCCGGAGGCCUCCAUUUCAGAAUAUUUCUUCGUUCUAAGUUGUCAAAUCCGUUCUCCGAUUAUUCUGUAUUCAUGCCUUUCCGUUCGUCUCCAUAUUCUUCCGGUGCUUUGCUCUUUAAUCAGUUUGCGAUCUCUUCGAUCUCUGGUCUUAGAUUUCUUCAAGUAUCUUCGUACUUUGCUAAUUCUUUCCCGGUGAGUCAUUCUUUUUCGUCAUUCAAUUUCGAAUUCUAACGAUGGCUCGUUCAAGAUCCCUUAUGUUGUUAUCAUAUCAAUUAAUUCGUUCUUUCCAAAUCCUACCGGUGGUUUAUGAAGACUUUCUCAAGUUUUGGGCUAUAUCCCCCCUUUAUAUUUUCCCAAUGUGAAUAAGUCGUAUGCAAUCCAUGGUAUCUCAUCAAUUUAAUUGGUGGAGGAUAAGCAUAACGUAAUCCUUAUUCUCCUUUCUUCAAGUGCUUUUUAUCUCUUCUUUUCGGAGAUUGUUCAUCUUAUCACAUUCUCGGUUCAAGGUGUUUCCAUCUUUUCUUUUCCGGAGUUCUAAGCUUCUCGCCGAUUUCGUCGCGAUCUUCCAUCCAAAUCAUCGCAAGGAUUUGAAUCUUACCCCUUUCAUCCUUCAAUUUUAUCUCGGCAUUCUUUUUGUUACCGGAGUUCAUCACGGUGGCUCGUCUUGAGUUAAUUCACUCCUCAAGUAUUCAUCAAGAUUCUUAUCGAAGGAGCUCAAGUACCUUUCCUUCUUGCUUUUCAAAGUGCAAUUAAUUCUUCGUAUUCUUUUGAAGUGGAGUUUUGCAUUUCUUCGUUCUUCUCAGCUAUACAAUCAUUUCCAUUUGUGGCCGGUUAUCACCUUAUGAUCUUGAGAUGUUAUCCAUAAGUCCACAACAA
rnacentral:lncRNA from 1 species